CCGGCAACUCUGGUUGUGAUGUGAGAGUUUUCUUCUUCAUUAAGCUUAGCUAAACCAAAAUCUGAAAUCUUUGGAGUAAGGUCACUAUCCAGAAGUACAUUUGUUGCUUUAAUGUCCCUAUGAACCAUUCUUAGCACGGAAUCUUCAUGCAGGAAUUUCAAACCUUUUGCAAUUCCGAUACAAAUUCGUUGUCUUGUAGGAAAAUCUAUUUCCAUCUUAGAUUUAUGGAGCGUACCAAAUAGAGCAUGUGCAAGAGAAUUAUUCUCCAUGUACUCAUAAACAAGCAGUAGUUGGU
rnacentral:lncRNA from 1 species